rnacentral:rRNA from 1 species
UACGUAGGGGGCGAGCGUUGUCCGGAUUCAUUGGGCGUAAAGGGUGCGUAGGUGGCGUGGUAAGUCGGGUGUGAAAUUUCGGAGCUUAACUCCGAAACUGCAUUCGAUACUGCCGUGCUUGAGGACUGGAGAGGAGACUGGAAUUUACGGUGUAGCAGUGAAAUGCGUAGAGAUCGUAAGGAAGACCAGUAGCGAAGGCGGGUCUCUGGACAGUUCCUGACACUGAGGCACGAAGGCCAGGGGAGCAAACGGG